GCACUUGUAAGGAAGGAAGAAGGCGGACUCCUACUAGAAUUUUCCUGUAAUCCUACUAGGAUUCAUACCAUGUAAUCCAGCUAGGACUCCUCCUUGUAACCGACUAGUAAUCUCACCCCCUGGAGUAUAUAAAGGAGGGCAGGGAUCCCUAGAUCAGUAGGCCAAGACCUCAUAGAACUACAACAGAUGACCAAAUCCUUAACACCAAACAACACCCAAAGCAUAGGGUGCAAUACACAACACCCCAAACAGGAUGUAGGGUAUUAUGCUACUCUGGCGGCCCGAACCUGUAUAAAUUCGUGUCUUGUGUCAUUGCUUUUACCUUCGAGUUACAGAUCCAACAAUUCCCCAC
rnacentral:lncRNA from 1 species